ACCGUCCCAUUUCUUCGAGGUCCCUUUGGUGCCGCUUUCCUCGAGAAGCCCUGCUCCUCCCUUUCGCAAGCUUCCCGACGCUGUUGCCACCACCCGAUGCGGAUCGUCGCCUUCUUCCCAGCCCCUCGAUGCCUUCCCUUGAGGUGGGCGUUGUUGCUGAGCUUCCUUGGGAUCCAGAUUCGGUUGGCUGCGGCCGAUCAGACCUGGAAACCCGAGUUUUGGUUUCCCGCUGAUUUUGAUGUGUUUACAAGAAAUGCUUCACUCCGUCUCCAUGUCUUUACUGAUGCUGAUUGGGCAGAGAACUUUGAUGAUAGAACAUCUACGUCAGGGUACAUUAUCUUCCUUGGAGCUACUCCAAUUAGUUGGAGUUCUAAAAAAAUAAAAGGCGGUUGCACGAUCUACAACUGAAGCUGAAUACCGUGCCAUCGCCACUACCGCUGCUGAACUCAAUUGGGUCACAAAUCUGCUCAAGGAACUCAACAUCACCUCCAUGGUUAUUCCUACAAUAUAUUGUGAUAAUAUUGGAGUUACCUACUUAUGUGUCAAUCCAGUGUUCCAUUCCCGCAUGAAACAUAUUGCCAUCGACUUCCACUUCGUGCGAGAUCAAGUUGUCAGACAACAACUCAGUGCUGAGAAAAAUCCUCCUUGCUGAAUGUGUAUAAAUAGAGCUCACUAUCUAAACGAACUAAGCAAUUACAUUUCAUAUAUUUCAUAGUUUCGUUUACAAUUUCUAUC